UCUGCCCAUAUGUGAGCAAAAUGAGAAAGUGAAAGCCAUUUUCAAGGCUUUUGCCUUGAGAAAACCCGCACCUUUGGAAAGAAAAAGAGAAAGAAUCGGCUUGGAAGCAAAGAGAGAAAGGAAGAAAGGAAAAAAGGAGAAAGAAAAGAAAAGCUUGGUGGAGGUUCGGCUUAGAGAAGUUAAAGAAGAACCGAGAGGUUUUUCCUCCCCACCUACAUGCCAUUGUUGAAGUUUAAAGAGAUUUGGUGGUUCGGUUUAGAAAUUCCAAGCUAAGGAAGGUCCUCCAAGAAUUCAAAGAAAUAGAUGCAUGCUUGUGGGUCAAUCUUGGAACCCAUGGUGAUUUUGAGCUAGAUAAGUUAUGGCAAUGAUGACCAUGGGUGUGAGGAAAUUGUGAGCUAUAUGUAUGGAAUUCAAGCUAAAACCGAAAAGUGAGCAUGCUAUAUAGUAAUCGGCUUAGUGUGCAAUCAUCGGCACUUAUGGUUCAUCGCGGAUAGGUAAAGGCAUCUCAUAGCAUUUCAUUCUAAGUCACUCCACUGCUAAAGGUCGAGUCAUUCGUAGCAUAAUUUGAUUAUAAAGAGUAUUAAUGUAAAUGUAUGGUUGGAUAUUAAAGACCUUGAUGUACUUCUACAAUUAUGUUGAAUAAAAGUUGAGUUGAGUUAU